UACGUAGGGGGCAAGCGUUGUCCGGAUUUCAUUGGGCGUAAAGCGCUCGCAGGCGGCUCGAUGCGUCGUGCGUGAAACGACCCCGGCUCAACUGGGGAGGGUCGUGCGAUACGGUCGGGCUUGAGGCCAGUAGGGGGAUGCGGAAUUCCGGGUGUAGUGGUGGAAUGCGUAGAGAUCCGGAGGAACACCAGCGGCGGAAGGCGGCAUCCUGGACUGGUCCUGACGCUCAGGAGCGAAAGCGUGGGGAGCGAGUCCGG
rnacentral:rRNA from 1 species